rnacentral:lncRNA from 1 species
UACAUAAUUCUUGCAUGUAUAAAUAACAAAAUGAGUCAAUCAUAUACAUUGCGUAUUAAUGUAUGUGGAGUAGAAAUAAAAGUAGUUCUCAUAAAAAAUGCCACUUUACCCCUAAAAAUACAUAGCUAAACAAUGUAUAAGAAAGCAAUAAAAUUGAAAAAAAAAUACAAAUUCAAAAGCAAAUCACAAAACCUUUAAAAGUCGAGGUCGUGAUCCUUUAAUUUUUUUCUUACUUGAAGAUUUCGUAACUUUACCCAUAUACAUGCCAUAGCUACGAUAACAAUGUUCUUACUUGAAGAACAUCGAAGAACCCCUACCACCACCAACAUAAUUCGUUGAGGUUGUGUCAAUCCUUCAAAAAUAGAUAACAUCAAAGAAUCACCAUCACCACCAGCAUGGUUCAUAGGCAAAAAUGGAUUAGAGGGGGCACUGGCGACGUGGUUCGCCGGCAAAGAGAUUGGAAAACUAUGUUAUAUUUGACUUGUUGCGGUAUAAAAAAUGAAGAUUAUAAAUUCAAACCUUUUGAAUAGUGAAAAUAUAGUUACUUUAUUUUAGGCAUAA